AGAAGCUGUAGCUCAGUGGAAGAGCAUCUACCAGGCAUGCAAAAAGCUCCAGGUUCACCCCCUGGCUUUUCCA